GUGGGGAAUAUUGGACAAUGGGCGAAAGCCUGAUCCAGCCAUGCCGCGUGUGUGAAGAAGGUCUUCGGAUUGUAAAGCACUUUAAGUUGGGAGGAAGGGCAGUAAGUUAAUACCUUGCUGUUUUGACGUUACCAACAGAAUAAGCACCGGCUAACUUCGUGCCAGCAGCCGCGGUAAUACGAAGGGUGCAAGCGUUAAUCGGAAUUACUGGGCGUAAAGCGCGCGUAGGUGGUUUUGUAAAUUGGAGGUGAAAUCCCCGGGCUCAACCUGGGAACUGCCUCCAAAACUGCAUGACUAGAGUACGGUAGAGGGUAGUGGAAUUUCCUGUGUAGCGGUGAAAUGCGUAGAUAUAGGAAGGAACACCAGUGGCGAAGGCGACUACCUGGACUGAUACUGACACUGAGGUGCGAAAGCGUGGGGAGCAAACAGGAUUAGAUACCCGAGUAGUCC
rnacentral:rRNA from 1 species